GUGAGUUGGUGGGGUAAUGGCUUACCAAGACUAUGACACAUAACUGGUUUGAGAGGAUGAUCAGUCACACUGGAACUGAGACACGGUCCAGACUCCUACGGGAGGCAGCCGUGGGGAAUAUUGCACAAUGGACGAAAGUCUGAUGCAGCAACGCCGCGUGGAGGAUGACACAUUUCGGUGCGUAAACUCCUUUUAUAUGAGAAGAUAAUGACGGUAUUAUAUGAAUAAGCACCGGCUAACUCCGUGCCAGCAGCCGCGGUAAUACGGGGGGUGCAAGCGUUACUCGGAAUCACUGGGCGUAAAGAGCAUGUAGGCGGAUUAAUAAGUUUGAAGUGAAAUCCUAUAGCUUAACUAUAGAACUGCUUUGAAAACUGUUAAUCUAGAAUGUGGGAGAGGUAGAUGGAAUUUCUGGUGUAGGGGUAAAAUCCGUAGAGAUCAGAAGGAAUACCGAUUGCGAAGGCGAUCUACUGGAACAUUAUUGACGCUGAGAUGCGAAAGCGUGGGGAGCAAACAGGAUUAGAUACCCUGGUAGUCCACGCCCUAAACGAUGUACACUAGUUGUUGUGAGACUUGAUCUUGCAGUAAUGCAGUUAACACAUUAAGUGUACCGCCUGGGGAGUACGGUCGCAAGAUUAAAACUCAAAAGAAUAGACGGGGACCCGCACAAGCGGUGGAGCAUGUGGUUUAAUUCGACGAUACACGAAGAACCUUACCUGGACUUGACAUAGUAAGAACUUUCUAGAGAUAGAUUGGUGUCUGCUUGCAGAAACUUAUAUACAGGUGCUGCACGGCUGUCGUCAGCUCGUGUCGUGAGAUGUUGGGUUAAGUCCCGCAACGAGCGCAACCCUCGUGUUUAGUUGCUAACAGUUCGGCUGAGAACUCUAAACAGACUGCCUACGCAAGUAGGAGGAAGGUGAGGACGACGUCAAGUCAUCAUGGCCCUUACGUCCAGGGCUACACACGUGCUACAAUGGGAUAUACAAAGAGCGGCAAUACGGUGACGUGGAGCAAAUCU
rnacentral:rRNA from 1 species